rnacentral:rRNA from 1 species
AAUGAACGCUGGCGGCGUGCCUAAUACAUGCAAGUCGAGCGAACAGACGAGGAGCUUGCUCCUCUGACGUUAGCGGCGGACGGGUGAGUAACACGUGGAUAACCUACCUAUAAGACUGGGAUAACUUCGGGAAACCGGAGCUAAUACCGGAUAAUAUAUUGAACCGCAUGGUUCAAUAGUGAAAGACGGUUUUGCUGUCACUUAUAGUUGGAUCCGCGCCGCAUUAGCUAGUUGGUAAGGUAACGGCUUACCAAGGCAACGAUGCGUAGCCGACCUGAGAGGGUGAUCGGCCACGCUGGAACUGAGACACGGUCCAGACUCCUACGGGAGGCAGCAGUAGGGAAUCUUCCGCAAAGGGCGAAAGCCUGACGGAGCAACGCCGCGUGAGUGAUGAAGGUCUUCGGAUCGUAAAACUCUGUUAUUAGGGAAGAACAAAUGUGUAAGUAACUAUGCACGUCUUGACGGUACCUAAUCAGAAAGCCACGGCUAACUACGUG